rnacentral:rRNA from 1 species
UACGGGGGGAGCAAGCGUUGUUCGGAUUUACUGGGCGUAAAGGGCGCGUAGGCGGUCGUGACAAGUCACUUGUGAAAUCUCCGGGCUUAACUCGGAACGGUCAAGUGAUACUGUCGGACUAGAGUACAGAAGGGGCAACUGGAAUUCUCGGUGUAGCGGUGAAAUGCGCAGAUAUCGGGAGGAACACCUAUGGCGAAGGCAGCUCGCUGGGACGUUAGCUGACGCUGAGACGCGAAAGCGUGGGGAGCAAACAGG